rnacentral:lncRNA from 1 species
AUGACCGUCUCAGAGCUGCGAGCCAGGCUCUGCUACCUUCAGGGGGGCGGAGUCCCGCUGCCGCUGCCGCGAUCUGGGGCUCGUUCUGGCGGCCGACAGACGAGAACCACUUCCGGUAGUAGCACGGGCGGUUUGAGGGUUACAGUGGUGGCAAACCCCGCAGGGAACCAACCCUCUGGGGACCACCGCUCCUCUUGCACCUCUGAUCCAGUGGAGCAACCCACGGAACGCGCUGGGCCCUCUACAAGGAGCGUACCAGUGGUAUCCAGUGGGCCUCCCCCCGACCGGAUGUCGAUCUCAGCAUCGGAGGGAGAGCUGUCGGAUGAAGAUUCGGCUGCGCUGCCGCCCUCAGGGACGGUGGCAAAGCCUGAGUCGGAUCCCGAAAUGGCAGCUAUGCUUUCCCGGGCCGCCGAGAUGGUAGGGCUCGAGUGGAAUCCUCCACCGCGUCCCGAGCCAUCGAGGCUGGAUGAUUGGUAUCUCGGGGUGGCACGUGCUGGUUCUCAGCGCCCCGCCCCAGUGCCUUUCUUCCCGGAAGUGCAUGAUGAGCUCACAAAGUCGUGGACGGCACCUUUUACUGCCAGAAACCGGCCAGUGGGCUCCUCCUCCCUCACCUCCCUUGAUGGCGGUGCAGCGAAGGGGUAUUCGGCAAUCCCGUCAGUGGAGCGGGCGGUAGCGAUGCAAUUGUGUCCUAAGUCCGCCUCCUCCUGGCGUGGAGACCCGGUGCUUCCUUCCCGGGCCUGUAGGCACUCGUCUGGUCUGACCGGCAGUGCCUAUGCGGCUUGCGGGGAAGCUGCUUCCGCCUUACACGCCAUGGCGUUACUGCAGGUGCACCAGGCUAAGGCACUGAAGGACCUGCACGAGGGUGGUCACGAUCCAGAAGUUCUGAAAGAGCUUCGAACCGCCACUGACCUCGCGCUCCGAGCGACGAAGGUCACCGCGAGUUCCCUGGGUCGUGCGAUGUCCACGCUUGUGGUCCAGGAGCGCCAUCUCUGGCUGUGUCUGGCAGACAUGAGGGACACCGACAAGGUCCNNNNNNNNNNNNNNNNNNNNNNNNNNNNNNNNNNNNNNNNNNNNNNNNNNNNNNNNNNNNNNNNNNNNNNNNNNNNNNNNNNNNNNNNNNNNNNNNNNNNCGGUUCCUCAAUGCCCCUGUGUCCCAGACCGGCCUCUUCGGCGACGCGGUUGAGAGCUUUGCCCAGCAGUUCUCGGCCGCCCAGAAGCAGACUGAGGCGAUCCGACACAUCCUGCCCCGGCGGGCAGCUGCUGCCUCCACCCGUCCGCGUGUAUAAGAGACAGAGCCUGCUCGUCGCCGAGGGCGGGCCCCCGCGUCCGCCCCCGCUCCCGCGCCGCAGCCGCAGCAGCCUCCAGCAAAGCAGCGUCGUGGAGCCGGGCGUGGGAGAGCCGCCCCGCCUGUCCAGGCCCCCGCCAAACCUGGUGGUAAACGCAAGAGCAAGCGGCCCUGAGACAGGCGACCCAGAGAUGGAGGGAUCUGCUCUUCGGGAGAUGGUGAACGCACCACUCCCUCCCCCGGAGGAGGGCCGGGUGGAGAAUCUUUUGUUUCAUUUUUUCCCGCCGUUGGCCUCACGGCCGACGGUACCCAAAUUCUCGACAAAAGAGCAUUUUCCCUCAUCUCUGGGUCCCAGGAGGGCACGGAGAGUUGCGGACGGCCAAACACCGGACCUCACUCAUCCUCCUCCUUCGCCAGAUGGCAGCAGCGGGCGGUUCGAGAGCGUCAACAAAGGCCCUACUCACGCACCCUCUGCCACCCCGUGGAACCAGGUGAGCCCUGCACCCCCCACUCGCACCACACUCAGGCCUGCUCACAAGCCGCCCGAGAUGGGUCCCUGUGUUCCACCUCGCUGCCCCACUGCGGGUACGGCUGUGGUUCCGCUGGUCCCGCUUGUACGGUUUCUAAGCGCCUGGUCAGCGCUACCCAGCCCGUCUCGCUGGCUCCUGCGGAUCAUCAGCCUCGGCUAUGCGAUUCAGUUCGCCCGGCGUCCCCCCAAGUUCAGCGGUAUCCGCUUCACUACAGUGAAAGCGUCCGAUGCCCCUGUUCUGCGGGAAGAGAUCGCAGUCUUACUGGCGAAAGACGCGAUAGAGCCGGUCCCUCCAGCCGAUAUGAGGACGGGGUUUUACAGCCCCUACUUCAUUGUACCCAAGAAAGGCGGUGGGUUACGACCGAUCUUGGAUCUGCGAGUUUUGAACCGGGCCCUUCAUCGGCUACCGUUCAAGAUGUUGACGCAGAAACGCAUCUUCGGGUGCGUCCGUCCCCGAGAUUGGUUUGCAGCGAUCGACCUGAAGGACGCGUACUUUCAUGUGUCGAUCCUUCCGAAUUAUAGUGCUUGA